GACGAACGCUGGCGGCGUGCUUAACACAUGCAAGUCGAACGGAAAGGCCCUGCUUGCAGGGUACUCGAGUGGCGAACGGGUGAGUAACACGUGGGUGAUCUGCCCUGCACUUCGGGAUAAGCCUGGGAAACUGGGUCUAAUACCGGAUAGGAGCCAUUUUUAGUGUGAUGGUUGGAAAGUUUUUUCGGUGUAGGAUGAGCUCGCGGCCUAUCAGCUUGUUGGUGGGGUAAUGGCCUACCAAGGCGGCGACGGGUAGCCGGCCUGAGAGGGUGGACGGCCACAUUGGGACUGAGAUACGGCCCAGACUCCUACGGGAGGCAGCAGUGGGGAAUAUUGCACAAUGGGCGCAAGCCUGAUGCUGCGACGCCGCGUGGGGGAUGACGGCCUUCGGGUUGUAAACUCCUUUCGCUAGGGACGAAGCUUUUUGUGACGGUACCUAGAUAAGAAGCACCGGCUAACUACGUG
rnacentral:rRNA from 1 species